AGAACAGGCAGUGACCAAGAAAGGUAUCGCCAAGUACAAAAUCAACCGCCCAAAGUACAAGAAAGGAGAACAUACAGUGAAAAAGAUACUGGCACCACGAACAUACCGGAAGUUUAUCAUUUUUCGUGCAUCUGUUACGUUCCACGUAGUGGUGGUUUGUUUUUGUGUUUUUUUCUUCUUUUGUUUGAACAGGUCACACUCAAUCAUGACCUCUGCUGCCAAUCAAACGGUUCCUGUUCCCAGCUGCUCCUCAUUUCAUCUGUUGAUCAGCCAGCCAAUCCCGGUCCACCAUUUAUCCUCCUGACCUGCUUAAAACCACCUGUUCACCACUGGAUUGAGAAAUUAUUUUUCUGACAUGCUGUGUUGAGUUUUGAGAGACGCUACUUUUUCUUUGGCGCUACUUUGUUUUGUAAUCAUUUUUUCUAAGCUUUUUGCUAAACUUGUGCCACCUGUUUUGUUGUCUUCCUUUUUGUUUGACCUUCCAACAUUUAAUAUGUUGACCAUCUGAAGGAUGCUGUCUGUUUUUUGGCCAGCAUAAUGAGAAGCCUCUACGAAGAACAGACAACCCACCAUCAAUGUGUGCCGCAUUUGAAAAACCCAACAAGCAGGAAGCCAUCCGGAAUCAUGGAAGUCAAUUCAGUACCACUUAACCCUUGUGUGGUGUUCAUAUUGUUGUUACUGAGCCAGUGUUUGUGGGUCUGAUGGACCCAUUGCAUUUUGUGACUUUUAAUGCCACACAAUAAAACAUUUUAUGUUAAAAUAA